rnacentral:rRNA from 1 species
UACGAAGGGUGCAAACGUUGCUCGGAAUUAUUGGGCGUAAAGCGCACGUAGGCGGCUUUGUGUGUCGGAUGUGAAAUCCCUCGGCUUAACCAAGGAAGUGCAUUCGAAACUGCAAGCUUGAGUACUUAAGAGGAUCGCGGAAUUCCCGGUGUAGAGGUGAAAUUCGUAGAUAUCGGGAAGGAACACCAGUGGCGAAGGCGGC